ACUGUUUUACUAUGAAUCUCCCGUUACGGUUGAUGCCCAUUGACCUCCAAAGUAAAAACUUCCUGCUCCUGGACAAUCAAAGCAAAUAGAUGCUCUUAGCUACACUGGUGGAUAUAUAGGGGAAGAAAAACAAAAUUACUUUCCCCUUAUAGACUCUUACCGGCAUCCCUCACCAGUACACCUUUCUGCAGCUGUUACAGUGAUCUAAAAUGCAAAUUGAAUCAUGCUGUUCCUCUGCUCAGCAACUUUAGCUGACUCACAGUCUAUAAGGCAAUUCAAAGGGACGUGAAAAGCCUAAAGAAGAAUCAUUGAGCCAAUUAAAAAGGAACCUUCUGGUUUUGGAGUCUAUCUCAGGAAGAGAAAAAAAGAAACUUCAGAUUUUGCUUUAGUGAAGAAUUUUUUACAAGGUUCUUUAAUGAAGUUGAUAAAACUCCACUCCUUUUCAACUGUAGGCAUAUAAUAUAAACUUAAAGAUUUCAAUGCCUGUACUUAAUACGUAACAAAUAAAAUGGGAGCAUGUUAAUAAUAAAAUACCACAAUCAAAUUCGCAAAUAUAUUCUCAUUGAAUGAUAUAUUUGGAAGUCAUCCAACCAUUCUUCUU